GCACAGAUAAAACUGUCUGUCUGCAGAUUUUGGUUUGACAUACAGAUAUUUGCCCGUAAUUAUCUAUUAAGUGUCAAGAAGUGUAUGCAGUCAGAAGAGCCUAAUGAGCUGUACAUGGGCCCUGAGUUCGAUGACAUCCCAUCUCAAGAUGCUGCUAAUACAGUAGCAAAUUAUUCCUAGCUGAAGAAGUCUAUCGGGAACAAAAGGAACUGGUGAAAAAGCAAUGGCUGCUGCAGCUGACGGUUUGGGAAGUAUAGCUAUAGAUACCACGCAACUGAACAUGUCAGUCACUGAUCCAACAGCUUGGGCCACGGCUAUGAAUAACCUGGGGAUGGUUCCAGUAGGUCUAGCUGGACAACAGCUUGU